GAUGAACGCUGGCGGCGUGCCUAACACAUGCAAGUCGAGCGGAAAGACGCUGCUUGCACGGUACUCGAGUGGCGGACGGGUGAGUAACACGUAGGUGACUGGCCCUGCACUUCGGGUUACGUCCGGAAAAGGGGGCCUAAUACCCAAUAGUAGCCAUGUUGAAAGUGAUGGUUGGAAAGUUUUUUCGGUGUAGGAUGAGCCUUCGGCGGAUCAGCUAGUUGGUGGGGUAAUGGCCUACCAAGGCGGCGAUGGGUAGCCGGCCUGAGAGGGUGGACGGGCACACUGGAACUGAGACGCGGUCCAGAGUCCGACGGGAGGCCGCAGUGGGGAAUGUUGGGCGAUGGGGGGAAGCCUGACCCAGCGGCGCCGGGCGGGUGAAGAAGGUCUGCGUAUGGUAAGACGGUCUUAGUGGUGAAGAACAGCUGUGCGAGGAACGAUGCCUGUUUUGACGGUACCUAGACAAGAAGCACCGGCUAACUACGUG
rnacentral:rRNA from 1 species